GUCGCACCGUGUGUAGUAACACAGGCUCGUCCAGCUGGGAUGCGGCACUGGUCACGCGUGGGUUUUUUCCACUUCCCCUCCAGCUCAGCCCUCGGCAGGAUGCUGCCUGUAGUGCUGGGAGCAGCUAGUGUGAAGGAAAGCAAUCCCUUAGGCAAAGAGCCCUAGCCGCAGUUUGUGCAGGGCUGCACAGCAUGAGCCAGGGGCAGAAGCGUGCAUGCUUUGUCUCAGCUAGUGUGAAGGAAAGCAAUCCCUUAGGCAAAGAGCCCUAGCCGCAGUUUGUGCAGGGCUGCACAGCAUGAGCCAGGGGCAGAAGCGUGCAUGCUUUGUCUGUGGGAGUGUGCCCGACAGCUGUAGGGAGCACAGCGGGCAUGCAGGCAGAGGAAAUGCGUGGGCAAGGCUGUCCCGUUUGAAUAGACUGCACAGAGUGGUUGUUUG
ensembl:lncRNA